CUAAUGACGUGGAAGCGGCCGGGGUCAUAGGUAGGACCCAAGUGUUAUCAGGAAUGAGGGGGCGUAAAGAGUUGCGGAGGUGGCAUAGUAAGCAAGUAGUGAAAGCGGUUGGCUCAACCAGACUGACAUUAUUUGAACUGCUAAGCUUGAGCAUGGGAGAGGUCACUGGAAUUCCUAGUGUAGGAGUGAAAUCCGUAGAUAUUAGGAGGAACACCGAUGGCGUAGGCAGGUGACUGGCCCAUUGCUGACACUAAGGCACGAAAGCGUGGGGAGCGAACGGGAUUAGAUACCCCAGUAGUC
rnacentral:rRNA from 1 species